rnacentral:lncRNA from 1 species
UAGCAACUGGUGGUAACCCUAUUUCAAAAAGUAAAUAUUGUGUCGAACUGGAGUGGAAUUUGGAAAAUCGUGUAUUUGAAUGGGACGCUGAUCCUUGUUCUGGAAGUUCUAACGAGGGAUAUGUUUGCGAGUUUCCAAUUGUAAGUUUUGAAGCAUAUACAUUAUCAACAUUGUUUGAAUAAUGUCUUUUUGUCGUGAUCUCAUUCUUUUCUUAGACAUUUAUUUUUAUUACGUUAUACAUUAGAUCAUCAUUUUAUUUCUGGCAACACGUAGAUUAUUUUUAUCGAACUAAAACCAAAGAGUAUUAGAUGCUACUUAGUUUUACAAACUAGUCGACCAACUGAUGUUGUAGGUGCAUGUUUUCUUAUCAUUGACUGUGCUUGUUAUAUUAUCUAGUGACAAAAUAGACAGGAAGUAUAUCGUUUUAAACUGUUAACUGUUUGGGUACAACUACAUCUUUGUUUUAUAGAUUUUGCAGACUCGUUUUUUGUUUUGUUUCUUCCGUCAUCAUAAUCGCGCCAUCAUUUUUAUUAGAUUCUUAUUUUUAAAUUUGUAUGAAGGUUAACAGUCAUUGAUGAGUUUGAUUAUAAAAAAACAAUCUGAAAUUGAGACAUUUUAUGUGAAAGGAGGAAUCCGAGAGAGAAAUAUAUCAAAUUGAUUCAUAAUAAAUAUGUCAGUAUAAAUUUUUCACUUUGAUAUUUGGUAUGUGUCCUGUUCCCAAUUGUGAUAUUUUGGCAGAGCGUUGUUUAGCAUGGUGGAGAUUCAAGAUUAUACCGAGAUACCAUUUGCUAUACUCUGUCUCGCUUCUUUUAGAGUUAAUGCAAUUUGCCGUUUCAGAAUCUAAAGCAUCAUGGGUAAUUUCAUUGUUCGUACCACAAAAUGAAAAUAACGUCACGUCAUUGGUUAAAAUUUCUCUUGUUUAUGGCAUUUUUAACCAAUCAGGACGUUUUGACAUACACUUUUGAAAAUAUUACCCAGGAUGCAUUAGAUUCUGAAACGGCGAAUUCAUUCAUUUUAUGUUUGAUACCUUGUUUUGACAGCUUGAAUAUGAUCGCCACUAAGUUUCAAAAUAACAAACUUUUUAAAAUAAAUGCAACAGUACGAAAGUAAUAAAUCAAAAGAAAGACUGUUUUAUGUUGAUAUUAAAUAAAUAACGGAAUUGAAAAAGAACUAGAAAAAAAAAUUAAGGGUAUGUUUGCUUGUUUUCAGGGGUUAGGGGACAAAGUUUGUUAUGAACUUCAUUGGUAAAACCACACCAUUUCCAUUAUUUAUCUACAAAUAUUCAAGAACAAGAGGAGCAAACAUUCGUAAUCAAAUUAUAGGGAUUUAAGAUGGAAAUAUUUGUUUUGCCUUGUUUACAAAAGUGUUUUUUUAAUCUUUUCUAUUGUCGUUUAUUCUAUUAUUAUAUACAUUAAUCCUGCGUGUCUGUUUUCAAAAAUAUGAAUUCGGUUAAUAUAUAAUUUACUAAGUCGAAUGUUUGAAGCAAUAUAUAUAUUCCUGACUAUCCCUCUAGUACCUUUCGUCCCUCUUUUAUAUUAUCAAAGUUAAUAUUUAAUAUUCACACAUUUCAAACACUAGUGUUUAUAAACAGUUCAUUGCAUGCAAGUGCAACAAUCUGGAAUAACUAAGGAACAUUAAAUUCUGAUGAUAUCAACACUUUUCGUCUAGGUUCUUCCACCAUACAUAAUAUAAAGUUUAAUGUACGGGUUAAUCGAACAAACAAUGUAUCAAAGUUCAAGUUGCAUUCAACAGUAAUGUUUACUAAGUCGAAUGUUUGCAGCAAUAUAUAUAUUCUUGUUAUCUAUGAUGAGUUUAUUCAUAGAAAUAACGGGAAAAUCAUAUUUGUUUCGAUAAAAAAAGUAUCAAUAAAUAAUUACAUUAGAUGUAUGUUUCAUUUAAAUACGUUAAUCUGAUUGGCUAACUAGCAAUCUCGUGAUAUUCCUUAAUCAAUUGCAUUAUACAAUGCAACUUUUCAUUCAUGAUGACACGAGGUCCCACAAUAAAGUGCACAGGUAAGUGAAAUAAAAACUUGACAAAAGCCGUGUUUUCAUGAUCCUAUAGGUAAAAAUGUAAUUAUAAGUAUUGAAUGCUUUUUUUGUGUAACUUUAUAGGGUUGCAAAAGCGUUGACCGUGCGCACAUUUUUAGUAUGACCGCUUCCGCGCAAUGUACUUCGGUAACGCUUUUACACCCCAAUAAAUUUACAAAAAAAGCAUUCAAUUCUUAAAUAAAUUUAAUAUACAAACACUUAUACAUCUAUUAUAAAUAUUUUUUUUUCUCUUUUUCAGGCCGAAUCGUGUUACUAGUCAUACAUUUGAUUGAAGAUUUUCAAGUUGGAUAUCAUCUUUUAAAUAAAAUCAUACAAAG